AUGGAUUCAUAUGGUCACAAUUGUGUCGUUUCAGAUGACACAACCCAGGAUCUCUUGUUCGUAAACAAAGCGAUCUCAACUCCUCAAACCUUCUUCUCUGAUCAACAAACCCAGCUCCGUUGCUCACCGUUGUCUCACCGCUGUCUCACCGCCGUUUCACUCAUCUCUGCAACAUCGCAGAUUGUAGCACCGUGGAUGUUUGAUCUCCACCAUGAUUCUUCUCACCUCCGUGUAAACUCCUUCGUUUAUCCAUCAUGA